CAGCAGCCGCGGUUUUACGGGGGAUGCAAGCGUUAUCCGGAAUCAUUGGGCGUAAAGCGCCUGUAGGUUGUCUAAUAAGUCUGUUGUUAAAGACUAGGGCUUAACCCUGGGAAAGCGAUGGAAACUAAUAGGCUUGAGUAUGGUAGGGGUAGAGGGAAUUUCUAGUGUAGCGGUGAAAUGCGUAGAUAUUAGAAAGAACACCGGUGGCGAAAGCGCUCUACUGGGCCAUUACUGACACUGAGAGGCGAAAGCUAGGGGAGCAAAAGGGAUUAGAUACCCCUGUAGUCCUAGCCGUAAACGAUGGAUACUAGGUGUUGUAUUAUUGUACAGUAUCGUAGCUAACGCGUUAAGUAUCCCGCCUGGGGAGUACGCUCGCAAGGGUGAAACUCAAAGGAAUUGACGGGGGCCCGCACAAGCGGUGGAGCAUGUGGUUUAAUUCGAUGCAACGCGAAGAACCUUACCAGGGCUUGACAUACUACAGAUCUUUUUGAGACGAAAGAGUGCCUUCGGGAAUGUAGAUACAGGUGGUGCAUGGCUGUCGUCAGCUCGUGUCGUGAGAUGUUGGGUUAAGUCCCGCAACGAGCGCAACCCUCGUUUUUAGUUGCCAAUUUAUUGGGAUCUCUAGAGAGACUGCCGGUGAUAAACCGGAGGAAGGUGAGGAUGACGUCAAGUCAGCAUGCCCCUUAUGUCCUGGGCCACACACGUGCUACAAUGACAAAGACAAAGAGUCGCAAAUUCGCGAGAACUAGCUAAUCUCAUAA
rnacentral:rRNA from 1 species